CAAAAAUCGUCAAAUUUGAAAGAUACCCAGAAAUCUAAAAUUCAAAAUUUAGGACAAAAAUUCAUAUCCCAGAAUUAAAGAAUUGCAAAACACAACAUAAGAAUUUCAUUCCUAAAAUACUUUAUUGAAUUUUAAUAGUUUAUAUGAAGUUGGCUCUGAUUCCACUGGGACUAUAGGGUAAGGAUCAUUGGUUUACUAUCAAAAGAAAAAAAAAAAAAAAAGGCCAUAAUUCUAAAUAUGCUCUUUUUCCAGAGAAAUCAAAGAAGAAAAUUCCAUCCCUCCAAAUAUAGAUCUUGGGUAGGCUUGUUGACUGCCGAUGUUUGUGAUUCCUAGAAUACUUUCUCGAAUUUUACUAGUUUAUAAGGAGUUGACUCUUAUACCAAUUGUUAGAAUUUUUAUGGAAGUCUAAAUCUCAAAACUUGAUAACCUAAUUACUUUAUUGCCAAAAUCCUCCAUAUCAAAUUACCAAGAAAAGUUAUUAAAUGUGGAACAUACAUUAAUUUAUUGGGAAUGAUUCUUUAAUAUUGAAUCUUGAUUUCGAAUCUUGAAUCUUGAAUAUUGACUCUUUUAUUUUGAGUUCUUGAUCUUAAUUUUGGCCUCUUGCUUUAUAAUCUUGAUUUUUGAAUUUCUUUAUCUUGAUUCUUGAUUGUAGAGUGCCUAUUCUUGAUUGUGUUUGGAUUUUCAAUAUGCUUUCUCUUGUAUUCAUAUGUUGAUGGGAUGACACAAUUAUAGUUUCCAUAUGUAUUUCGCCCAUCAUUAAAUACAAUGCUAAAGGAAUCUAGUCUCCACACAUAUAAUCCUACCCGCACUUUAU
rnacentral:lncRNA from 1 species